rnacentral:rRNA from 1 species
CCUACGGGGGGCAGCAGUGGGGAAUAUUGGACAAUGGGCGAAAGCCUGAUCCAGCCAUGCCGCGUGUGUGAAGAAGGCCUUCGGGUUGUAAAGCACUUUCAGUGGGGAAGAAAGCCUUGGGGCUAAUACCCUCGAGGAAGGACAUCACCCACAGAAGAAGCACCGGCUAACUCCGUGCCAGCAGCCGCGGUAAUACGGAGGCUGCGAGCGUUAAUCGGAAUUACUGGGCGUAAAGCGCGCGUAGGCGGUCUGAUAAGCCGGUUGUGAAAGCCCCGGGCUCAACCUGGGAACGGCAUCCGGAACUGUCAGGCUAGAGUGCAAGAGAGGAAGGUAGAAUUCCCGGUGUAGCGGUGAAAUGCGUAGAGAUCGGGAGGAAUACCCGUGGCGAAGGCGGUCUUCUGGAUUGACACUGACGCUGAGGUGCGAAAGCGUGGGUAGCAAACAGGAUUAGAUACCCCGGUAGUC